rnacentral:rRNA from 1 species
GGACCUUGCCGGCGUGCUAACCAUGCAGUCGAACGGUAAGGCCCUUUCGGGGGUACACGAGUGGCGAACGGGUGAGUAACACGUGGGUGAUCUGCCCUGCACUUUGGGAUAAGCCUGGGAAACUGGGUCUAAUACCGAAUACACCCUGCUGGUCGCAUGGCCUGGUGGGGGAAAGCUUUUGCGGUGUGGGAUGGGCCCGCGGCCUAUCAGCUUGUUGGUGGGGUGAUGGCCUACCAAGGCGACGACGGGUAGCCGGCCUGAGAGGGUGUCCGGCCACACUGGGACUGAGAUACGGCCCAGACUCCUACGGGAGGCAGCAGUGGGGAAUAUUGCACAAUGGGCGCAAGCCUGAUGCAGCGACGCCGCGUGAGGGAUGACGGCCUUCGGGUUGUAAACCUCUUUCAACGCCGACGAAGCGUAAGUGACGGUAGGCGUAGAAGAAGCACCGGCCAACUACGUGCCAGCAGCCGCGGUAAUACGUAGGGUGCGAGCGUUGUCCGGAAUUACUGGGCGUAAAGAGCUCGUAGGUGGUUUGUCGCGUUGUCCGUGAAAACUCACAACUCAAUUGUGGGCGUGCGGGCGAUACGGGCAGACUGGAGUACUGCAGGGGAGACUGGAAUUCCUGGUGUAGCGGUGGAAUGCGCAGAUAUCAGGAGGAACACCGGUGGCGAAGGCGGGUCUCUGGGCAGUAACUGACGCUGAGGAGCGAAAGCGUGGGGAGCGAACAGGAUUAGAUACCCUGGUAGUCCACGCCGUAAACGGUGGGUACUAGGUGUGGGUUUCCUUCCUUGGGAUCCGUGCCGUAGCUAACGCAUUAAGUACCCCGCCUGGGGAGUACGGCCGCAAGGCUAAAACUCAAAGGAAUUGACGGGGGCCCGCACAAGCGGCGGAGCAUGUGGAUUAAUUCGAUGCAACGCGAAGAACCUUACCUGGGUUUGACAUGCACAGGACGCCGGCAGAGAUGUCGGUUCCCUUGUGGCCUGUGUGCAGGUGGUGCAUGGCUGUCGUCAGCUCGUGUCGUGAGAUGUUGGGUUAAGUCCCGCAACGAGCGCAACCCUUGUCUCAUGUUGCCAGCACGUAAUGGUGGGGACUCGUGAGAGACUGCCGGGGUCAACUCGGAGGAAGGUGGGGAUGACGUCAAGUCAUCAUGCCCCUUAUGUCCAGGGCUUCACACAUGCUACAAUGGCCGGUACAAAGGGCUGCGAUGCCGUGAGGUGGAGCGAAUCCUUUUAAAGCCGGUCUCAGUUCGGAUCGGGGUCUGCAACUCGACCCCGUGAAGUCGGAGUCGCUAGUAAUCGCAGAUCAGCAACGCUGCGGUGAAUACGUUCCCGGGCCUUGUACACACCGCCCGUCACGUCAUGAAAGUCGGUAACACCCGAAGCCGGUGGCCUAACCCGUAAGGGGGGGAGCCGUCGAAGGGGAUUCCGGA